rnacentral:rRNA from 1 species
UACGGAGGAUGCGAGCGUUAUCCGGAUUUAUUGGGUUUAAAGGGUGCGUAGGCGGGCUGUUAAGUCAGCGGUCAAAUGUCGGGGCUCAACCCCGGCCUGCCGUUGAAACUGGUGGCCUCGAGUGGGCGAGAAGUAUGCGGAAUGCGUGGUGUAGCGGUGAAAUGCAUAGAUAUCACGCAGAACUCCGAUUGCGAAGGCAGCAUACCGGCGCCCGACUGACGCUGAGGCACGAAAGCGUGGGUAUCGAACAGG